GAUGAACGCUAGCUACAGGCUUAACACAUGCAAGUCGAGGGGCAGCACUAGGUAGCAAUACUGAGGUGGCGACCGGCGCACGGGUGCGUAACGCGUAUCCAACCUUCCCGUUACUCUUGGAUAGCCUUCCGAAAGGGAGAUUAAUACAAGAUGGUGUUGAAAUUCCGCAUGUUAUUUCAACUAAAGAUUUAUCGGUAACGGAUGGGGAUGCGUUCCAUUAGCUUGUUGGCGGGGUAACGGCCCACCAAGGCGACGAUGCAUAGGGGUUCUGAGAGGAAGGUCCCCCACACUGGUACUGAGACACGGACCAGACUCCUACGGGAGGCAGCAGUGAGGAAUAUUGGUCAAUGGUCGAGAGACUGAACCAGCCAAGUCGCGUGAGGGAAGACUGCCCUAUGGGUUGUAAACCUCUUUAGUCGGGGAGCAAAAAAGCGGACGUGUCCGCCAUUGAGCGUACCCGAAGAAUAAGCAUCGGCUAACUCCGUG
rnacentral:rRNA from 1 species